UGCUGCUGGACCUAAGCUAAGGCCUGUAC
rnacentral:piRNA from 1 species